rnacentral:rRNA from 1 species
GACGAACGCUGGCGGCGUGCCUAACACAUGCAAGUCGAACGGAGUUGUUCCUUCGGGGACAACUUAGUGGCGAACGGGUGAGUAACGCGUGAGGAACCUGCCUUCCAGUGGGGGACAACAGUUGGAAACGACUGCUAAUACCGCAUAAUAUGUACGGACCGCAUGAUCUGUACAUCAAAGCUUUAUGUGCUGGAAGAUGGCCUCGCGUCUGAUUAGCUAGUUGGUGGGGUAACGGCCCACCAAGGCGACGAUCAGUAGCCGGUCUGAGAGGAUGAACGGCCACAUUGGGACUGAGACACGGACCAGACUCCUACGGGAGGCAGCAGUGAGGAAUAUUGGUCAAUGGGCGGAAGCCUGAACCAGCCAAGUAGCGUGAAGGAUUACAGCCCUACGGGUUUUAAACUUCUUUUUGUCAGGGACGAAUAAUUGACGGUACCUGACGAAUAAGCCACGGCUAACUACGUG